rnacentral:rRNA from 1 species
GCGGUGGAGUAUGUGGUUAAUUCGAUGCAACGCGAGAACCUUACCUGGUCUUGACAUCCCGGAGACCCUUAGGAAACUAGGGGGUGCUUCCAUCUGGAAGAAUCUGGAGACAGGUGCUGCAUGGCUGUCGUCAGCUCGUGUCGUGAGAUGUUGGGUUAAGUCCCGCAACGAGCGCAACCCUUGCCUUUAGUUGCCAGCAGUUCGGCUGGGCACUCUAAAGGGACUGCCGGUGUUAAACCGGAGGAAGGUGGGGAUGACGUCAAGUCCUCAUGGCCUUUAUGACCAGGGCUACACACGUACUACAAUGGCCGAUACAAAGGGCAGCGACACUGCGAGGUGAAGCCAAUCCCGUAAAAUCGGUCUCAGUCCGGAUUGGAGUCUGCAACUCGACUCCAUGAAGUUGGAAUCGCUAGUAAUCGUGGAUCAGCAUGCCACGGUGAAUACGUUCCCGGGCCUU